AUGUCCUUCUUUGAAGUCCAUCCUGCUCCGCCCACUAUUUGUCCCCGGUGGUCACUUCCUCCUCUGUGCUCCCGUGGCCUGGGAUUCACACCAGGAAAGAACGCCACGAAGAAGGAAUGGGUGAAGGACUUUAGUACGAUGGUCAAGACAAGAACCGUGGAGUCAGAAUGCCUGCAUGCAGAUCUCAUCACCAUGGGAAUCAUUGAGGGUUUACUGAACGAGUGCUAUUGUAAACAGAGUCAGUGUCAACACCAGAAAGUGCUUCCUGAUCUGGCAGUUUAAUUGCUCUCCUGAUUUCCAUGCUUUUCACUCUUUAUGAAAUGUGACGUUUUCUCUACAUCUUGUACAAAUACAGGUAUGAAAACAUUGGGCUGGUUUAUAAGUUAGAGCUAAAGUCUAGUUAAAUGGCAAAGGUGAUUUUUGCAAAUAGAUACAUAGCUUCUUUAAAGCCAGCUUCGAGGUUUCUCAGGCAUUCCUGAAUGGCUUGAGAUUGAUGUUCCAGGAGGCAGAACAUCGAGGGAAGGCAAGGGAUUCUCUGGAAUGUUAUUCAGUGGACCUGAGCACUCAACUGCCACUUGAAACAUUAGUUUGUCGUUGGCCCUUUGGCCAAUGGCACAAGUACCUCGGCUGCACUGGGGGCUGCCUUUCAGCUACAUUAACCUGCUUUAUAGUUCAUAACGAGCCUUGGUGAUUGAAGUCCACAUAGCCACUGUGGGUUCACCUCUUGUCCAAGACACAGGCAUGUCUCUCGACCCCCUGACCUCCCAUUCUCUGAGUUCUUGCUUUGCCACCUACAUCUGUUCUGUAUCUUCAGAUUCCCCCCUCUGGCUUUUCCCUGGAUUCUUGAUCUCAGCCUGUCAGCACACUUAAAUAUACAUCAUCCUUAAAACAAUAAAACAAAACAAAAUCCUUUUAACAAGACUCCUCCUUGAAGGACAACCCUCUUCUCUCACUUCCUUUCUUGCAAAAGCCUGCACAAUGGACAUGUCUCAUCUUCUCUUUCCCACUUUCCAUUCACAUUGGCUACUAUCCUGCCACCUCCCUGCACCUGCUCUCAUUAAAGUAACCACUGUUUCUCUAAUUUCCAAACUAGGAGGCUGUCACUCCUCAUCCUCCUUGGCUUCUGAAGCACCUGACAGUGUUGACUGAGCAGCUAUGUGCUGAGCUAAGACAAGGGAGUUUGGUAGCUAGUAAAAGGACAAAUGGGUAUCCGAGGUCAAUGAAUGGUUCUGAGGUCAAGUAUAAUUCCCUGCUGGGACUCAUUGACAGACUCAACUUCAUCUCUUUUUCCCUGAACUGGCAGUUAUUUUAGGAUUUGUACUCAUAUCUUUCUCUUCUCUUCUUCAUUUUCUUCUCUCAUCUUAUCUUCUCUACUUACUUAUAUGUUCUUCCUGGGCGACAUCAUCAUUUUUUUUCCAGCUUCAAGUAUAUCUUGAAUUCCAAAUCUUUAUUUUUACUAAAGCCGUUGGCUGAACUAUAAACCUAUAUUUUCAAAUGCUCAUUGGACAUAACUCCAGUAAAGUGUUAUAGGCAUUUCACCUUAACACACAAAAGGAACUUGAUAAUAUCUUUAAGUUUGUUCCUCUCUUUAUAUUCCUUUUUUUGUUUGAGAUGGAGUCUUGCUCUGUGGCCCAGGCUGGAGUGCAGUGGUACAACAUCCACUCACUGCAACCUCUACCUCCCAGGUUCAAGUGAUCCUCCUGUCUCAGCCUCCCAAAGUGCUGGGAUUACAGGCAUGAGCCACCAUGCCCAGCCCCUGUCCUUAUGUUCUUCAUUUCAGACAAAUGGCAGUGCCACUUUCCAGUAUUCUAAGCUAGAAUCUUGCAUAUGUCCCCAAUUUUUCUUCUAUUUUAUUUCUUACCUUCAAUGUCAUCAAGUUUGGUCAAUUCUUCCUCAUACACAACUCUUAAAAAAUUCAUUGUUGCUUUUCCAUUUGCACUGCCAUAGUUUUGGUUCUGCCCUUAGCAUCUGAUAUGGUUUAGCUCUGUGUGUCCACCCAGAUCUCAUGUUGACUUGUAAUCCCCAUGUGUCAGGGGAGAGACCGGGUGGGAGGUGAUUGGAUCACGGGGGUCGGAUUUCCCCCUUGCUGUUCUUGUGAUAGUGAAUGAGCUCUCCUGAGAUCUGAUGGUUUAAAAGUGUGGCACUUUCCCCUUCACUCUCUCUCUCUCCUGCUGCCUUGUGAAGAUGUGCCUUGCUUCCCCUUUAGCUUCAGCCGUGAUUGUAAGUUUCCUGAGGCCUCCCCAGCCAUGCAGAACUGUGAGUCAAUUAAACCUCUUUUCUUUAUAAAUUACGCAGUCUCAGGUAGUUCUUUAUAGCAGUGUGAGAACAAACUAAUACAGCAUCUCUAAGGCCCGAUAACCAAAACCUAGUCCAGCACUUUUUUCCUCAAGGAAGUGCAAAUCCCUUGGGCGUCAUGUUCAAAUGUGGAUCCUGACUUCAAAGAUCUGUGUGGGGCUUGAGAUUCUGCAAUCUGGCAAGCUCCUAAGGGCUGCUUCUUGUUCCUGGACCUCACCCUGAACAGUAAUGACCUCAACAACUACUACCCUUCUCUCAGGCCUCAUUCCCUCUGCCUUACCACUUGCCCACCCUCUGUUCCACCCCAGCCUCCACCCUGCACACCACUCCUGCACUCCCAAGUCAUUCUCUAUAAUCGUGACUAUCUUCUAAAUUCUUAAAGUGGAAAUAUGAUAAUGUCACUGUCCUGUGUUAACAGCUUUAAUGGGGGUCCCAUAACCUUCAGGAUAAAGUUCAAGCUGCUUAAUAGGAGAUGCAGGGUGACUUUGAUUAUCUGAAAUCCACCUGCGUCUUAUCCCCCAUGCCCUCUCAGUCUGCAGAAAAUGUGUGCACUUUUUUUUUUAAGAGAAAAGGAUCAAAUAAUGUGCUGGAUUCUCAGAGUGUUAUUUGGCUUUGAGAAAGAGGAAUGACCACAGUCCUUUCUGCAUUAGGAAUUUUUUUUGUUUGUUUUUAGAGUAUGAUUCAGAGACCAAUUUAUUCCCAAAGAAAAUUGCCAUUACAUCUAUUAAGUUUUUAUAUUAAAACAUUUUCUACCAAGGGAUGACUGUCACUCUGAGCAACUGUGCCACUGUGAAUGCCUCAUGUGUCAGCAUAGCUUAUUAUCUAGCUCUGAGCAGAAUGGGAGUGCUGCUGAAUUAGUCUUGAGGAAAUUUUAUAGAUGAGGAAGCAGUAGCCCACAUAGAUUAGACAAUUUCCCUGAAUUUAUAAAACUCAGACAGUGCCAGAGACUAGACUAGACCUUGAAUCUUUGGGACUCUUGUCUAGUACUCUUUGCACUGAACCAUGAAACACCAUCCUUCCUUAGCAAGGAGAGAUGGGGUCAAAGUGAGAUGUGACAAUGAGGAAGUGUGGCAAGUUAAAGCAGCAACAAAGCUACAUGCCUCAGCUUCUGGGGUUCUUCCUUCUUCAAUAUUUCACUUCAGGGGAAGAUGUGGCAGUGCUUAGAUGCUAACAGAAAGAACCAGGAGACACAGAGCUGGUGUGGCAAUGCAGAAAAGGCCCGUGGAUUGUGGCUGGAAGAGGUGGCCAGGAGUGCCAAGUGUCAGGGUGGUGGCCUGUAAGCCACAGGUAGGGGAAUGUAGCUUCGUAGCCUGGUGAAGAGGGGACAGGGCUGGGGACACGUCCAAGGAGUCGUGUUGGUUGCAUUCCAAUAUUUUGCUGCACUGAUGAAGUGACAGGGAAGUGAGUUUCUGCCCAGCAUUGAGGAAUCACUCACAAUUCCGUUGUGCAGGAAUGAGAGAAGACGCACUGUGCUGUGGGAGGCGUUGCUCCAGGACUCCAGCCAAGUUUCCGUGACUACAGAGCAUGGAUAUGGAGGAUGCGAUUCCUCCAUAGUACAGGAGACUGAUCAGAUGACCUUGGGUUUCUCCUUCUGCACCCAUUGCCAAGACCAUAUGUGCUUAAGUGAGGAAGCUGUGAAUAAGGGGUGCUUCCCUCAUGGCCAAUUCAGGGAUCAUAGAUGUAGGUGAGGAGGUACACGGAUGACAGCCAGGAUCAGGGAGGGCAUUUUUAACCAGGCUGCCUCCCCUGAAUCUGCUCUAAAGAUGGGACUAUUUUCUCCGUAUUAUUUUAUAGGAUCUUUUAUGGCUAACUCAUCUUAUAGAUUAAGCCAGUUGUCAAAAUGUUUCUGUAAAGGGUUAGAAAGUAAAUUGUAGCCUUUGUG
rnacentral:lncRNA from 1 species